UGGAAAAACUACCCAAUUGUCAUCCCUGGGUAAAAGUUAAGAUACCUUCAUAGAAAAUGACUCAAGUAAAAGUGAGUCACCCAGAAAAAUACUACUUUAGUAAAAUGUCAUCAUUUGGUUUUAAUACUUAAUUAUCAAAAGUAAAUGUAAUGGCAAAAAUAUACUCUGCGAUACGUCGUGCCCAAGAACAGCCCUUAGCCGUGGUAUAUUGGCCAUAUACCACUUCCCCGCGUGCUUUAUUGCUUAAAUAUACGCUGGAGCUGGGUUUCCAUGAAAUCGCCAUGUUUCAACGAUGAAAAGUAACAUCACGAAAUAAUUUCAGAAAUCGCAAAAUCACUUUGCUCCAUUCACGGAGCAUGGAUUGCCGUUGGAUGCAACGGCCACGGAAUUUCUAAACUGUACUGUCUUUGCUAAGGCAAAUAUUUGUAUAACUGUCAUCAUCUGUAGUUAAUUAUAGUUGACCGGACGUUUGUACAGCCUUAAAAACAAACCGAUGUAGCACAAUCAAAAGUAAAUUGUUCCACAUCUGUAGAGUAAUUUCAUCUAAUAUAAAAAUACGAUCUACGGUUCAAUGAGACCAGGGACGUUUCUGAAAUGAUAUGAAUGAGACCGCUGCAUUUAAUGUCUCGUCUAGUUAAAAUAAAUUAAACGUACUUUUUCAUAAUAAUGUAAAAAAUCAAGCGCUUCAAAUCGAGUGGUGCCAUUGGUGCUCUUUUGACAGUCUGAUAAAUUAUUCACAUCAGUCAAACCAGUCUUCAAUCAGGCAAUCAAGUACAUUAAUGACUGCACUACCGUCUCAAGAAUGUUGUGGGCCUGACAAACGGUUAAUGUUAUGGUGCCCUACAAAACUAAAGUUAUUACAAACGUUUACACAGAUCUUGUAGAAUCUUCUGUAAAACAUUUAAUUAUCAUAUAACAAUUCACAGAAGUUAUCACAUAACCUUUGUUACCCAGUCAGAAUAGUCCAGUGCUUUAAUUAGGCAAUAAUUGUAGGGUUAUUGUGUGCUUUUACAACCGGCGUGAUGAGAACUCGAUCCGGUGGAAUACGACAAUACGGAGCGCUUAUUUCAAAGAGCGCUCUGUAAGUCACGCCCCAGUGGGCAAGGGGCUGAGGCACUUGGACCGUGAUUGAGGACACCCUGGCCUGACACCUGGAUGUGCCUUGCCCAAUCCCACCUGGCUCCCCUCUACAUGCUUCCUGUCUGUUACUUUAAAGUCCAUAAUUAACUUAUACAGCUCUGGAUCCAAUGUCUUACCCACUACUUGUGUCAAUUACUUGCUAGUUUAUAUAACACCUUUUUUUUAAACUAAUGAUUCAAAGGUGUGUGACCAUUAACUUUGGCUGCAUGUCCAUUUAACAAUGGCGUAAAGAGGCUCAAGCUAAUGCUUACACCAAUCCAUUAGGCGAGGGAUGGAUAAUUGGUAUGCAGCCAUUGAUUUUUAGGUGGCUUCAUCAACAGAUGGAAUGUCUCCCAAAUGGCACCAUUUUCCCAAUACACAGUGCACUAAUUUUGACCUGGGUUCAUAGGGCUCUGGUCAAAAGUAAUGCAUUAUACAGGCAAACAGGGUGUCAUUUGGGAUGCAUUCUGCUUGUUGAGCACUACCCUGCCUACUGUAAACCAUUUCUCCCAUUCCCCCAGUUAAGCAAAAUAAAGGGAGAGGCGGUGACAAUAA